rnacentral:rRNA from 1 species
GUUGUAUAGUUAAGUGAGAAAGCGUACAGGGCGGAUGCCUUGGCAAUCAGAGGCGAAGAAGGACGUGCUAAUCUGCGAAAAGCGUGGGUGAGUUGAUAAGAAGCGUUUAACCCACGAUGUCCGAAUGGGGAAACCCGAUAGGCGAAGAGCCUAUCAUUGCGAGGUGAAUAAAAUAGCCUCGUAAGGCGAACCGGGAGAACUGAAACAUCUAAGUACCCCGAGGAAAAGAAAUCAACCGAGAUUCUGUGAGUAGCGGCGAGCGAAAGCGGAGGAGCCAGUAAGUAAUAGCAGCAGAGAUAGAGGAAUUGUCUGGGAAGGCAAGCGACACAGGGUGAUAGCCCCGUACUUAAAAUCCAGGCUGUGGUACUAAGCUUACGAGAAGUAGGGCGGGACACGAGGAAUCCUGUCUGAAGAUGGGGGGACCAUCCUCCAAGGCUAAAUACUCCUGAUUGACCGAUAGUGAACCAGUACUGUGAAGGAAAGGCGAAAAGAACCCCGGUGAGGGGAGUGAAAUAGAACCUGAAACCCUGUACGUACAAGCAGUGGGAGCCCGCAAGGGUGACUGCGUACCUUUUGUAUAAUGGGUCAGCGACUUAUAUUUUGUAGCGAGGUUAACUGAAUAAGGGAGCCGAAGGGAAACCGAGUCUUAACUGGGCGGUGAGUUGCAAGGUAUAGACCCGAAACCCGGUGAUCUAGCCAUGGGCAGGUUGAAGGUUGGGUAACACUAACUGGAGGACCGAACCGACUAAUGUUGAAAAAUUAGCGGAUGACCUGUGGCUGGGGGUGAAAGGCCAAUCAAACCGGGAGAUAGCUGGUUCUCCCCGAAAUCUAUUUAGGUAGAGCCUUGUGUGAAUACCUUUGGGGGUAGAGCACUGUUUCGGCUAGGGGCCCAUCCCGGGUUACCAAACCGAUGCAAACUCCGAAUACCAAAGAGUAAUGCACAGGAGACACACGGCGGGUGCUAACGUCCGUCGUGGAGAGGGAAACAACCCAGACCGCCAGCUAAGGUCCCAAAAUCUAUAUUAAGUGGGAAACGAAGUGGGAAGGCUUAGACAGCUAGGAUGUUGGCUUAGAAGCAGCCACCAUUUAAAGAAAGCGUAAUAGCUCACUAGUCGAGUCGGCCUGCGCGGAAGAUGUAACGGGGCUAAAAUAUAGUACCGAAGCUGCGGCAUCAAUCGAAGGAUUGUUGGGUAGGGGAGCGUUGUGUAAGCGGAAGAAGGUGGUUCGAGAGGAUUGCUGGACGUAUCACAAGUGCGAAUGCUGACAUAAGUAACGAUAAAACGGGUGAAAAACCCGUUCGCCGGAAGACCAAGGGUUCCUGUCCAACGUUAAUCGGGGCAGGGUGAGUCGGCCCCUAAGGCGAGGCUGAAAAGCGUAGUCGAUGGGAAACGGGUUAAUAUUCCCGUACUUGGUAAAGCUGCGAUGUGGGGACGGAGAAGGUUAGGUUAUCGACCUGUUGGAGAUGGUCGUUUAAGUUGGUAGGUGGGUGAGUUAGGCAAAUCCGGCUCACCGUUAACACUGAGAGAUGAUGACGAGGCACUAAGGUGCUGAAGUAACUGAUACCACACUUCCAGGAAAAGCCACUAAGCUUCAGGCUUUACUAAACCGUACUGAAAACCGACACAGGUGGUCAGGUAGAGAAUACUCAGGCGCUUGAGAGAACUCGGGUGAAGGAACUAGGCAAAAUAGCACCGUAACUUCGGGAGAAGGUGCGCCGGCGUAGAUUGUAGUGACUUGCUCACGAAGGUUGAACCGGUCGAAGAUACCAGCUGGCUGCAACUGUUUAUUAAAAACACAGCACUCUGCAAACACGAAAGUGGACGUAUAGGGUGUGAUGCCUGCCCGGUGCUGGAAGGUUAAUUGAUGGUGUAAUCGAAAGAGAAGCUCCUGAUCGAAGCCCCAGUAAACGGCGGCCGUAACUAUAACGGUCCUAAGGUAGCGAAAUUCCUUGUCGGGUAAGUUCCGACCUGCACGAAUGGCAUAAUGAUGGCCAGGCUGUCUCCACCCGAGACUCAGUGAAAUUGAAAUCGCCGUGAAGAUGCGGUGUACCCGCGGCUAGACGGAAAGACCCCGUGAACCUUUACUAUAGCUUGACACUGAACCUUGAAUUUUGAUGUGUAGGAUAGGUGGGAGACUAUGAAGCGGUAACGCCAGUUAUCGUGGAGUCGUUGUUGAAAUACCACCCUUUAACGUUUGAUGUUCUAACGAAGUGCCUGAAACGGGUACUCGGACAGUGUCUGGUGGGUAGUUUGACUGGGGCGGUCUCCUCCCAAAGUGUAACGGAGGAGCACGAAGGUUUGCUAAUGACGGUCGGACAUCGUCAGGUUAGUGCAAUGGUAUAAGCAAGCUUAACUGCGAGACAGACAAGUCGAGCAGGUGCGAAAGCAGGUCAUAGUGAUCCGGUGGUUCUGAAUGGAAGGGCCAUCGCUCAACGGAUAAAAGGUACUCCGGGGAUAACAGGCUGAUACCGCCCAAGAGUUCAUAUCGACGGCGGUGUUUGGCACCUCGAUGUCGGCUCAUCACAUCCUGGGGCUGAAGUAGGUCCCAAGGGUAUGGCUGUUCGCCAUUUAAAGUGGUACGCGAGCUGGGUUUAGAACGUCGUGAGACAGUUCGGUCCCUAUCUGCCGUGGGCGUUGGAGAAUUGAGAGGGGCUGCUCCUAGUACGAGAGGACCGGAGUGGACGCAUCACUGGUGUACCAGUUGUCUCGCCAGAGGCAUUGCUGGGUAGCUAAAUGCGGAAGAGAUAAGUGCUGAAAGCAUCUAAGCACGAAACUUGCCUUGAGAUGAGUUCUCCCAGUCUAUAAGACUGUAAGGGUUGUUGGAGACUACGACGUAGAUAGGCUGGGUGUGUAAGCGGUGUGAGCCGUUGAGCUAACCAGUACUAAUUGCCCGAGAGGCUUAACUAUACAACGCUCAAGGGUUUUG